GAUGAACGCUAGCUACAGGCUUAACACAUGCAAGUCGAGGGGCAGCAUGGUCUUAGCUUGCUAAGACUGAUGGCGACCGGCGCACGGGUGAGUAACACGUAUCCAACCUGCCGUCUACUCUUGGACAGCCUUCUGAAAGGAAGAUUAAUACAAGAUGGCAUCAUGAGUCCGCAUGUUCACAUGAUUAAAGGUAUUCCGGUAGACGAUGGGGAUGCGUUCCAUUAGAUAGUAGGCGGGGUAACGGCCCACCUAGUCUUCGAUGGAUAGGGGUUCUGAGAGGAAGGUCCCCCACAUUGGAACUGAGACACGGUCCAAACUCCUACGGGAGGCAGCAGUGAGGAAUAUUGGUCAAUGGGCGAGAGCCUGAACCGGCCAAGUAGCGUGAAGGAUGACUGCCCUAUGGGUUGUAAACUUCUUUUAUAAAGGAAUAAAGUCGGGUAUGGAUACCCGUUUGCAUGUACUUUAUGAAUAAGGAUCGGCUGACUCCGUGCCAGCAGCCGCGGUAAUACGGAGGAUCCGAGCGUUAUCCGGAUUUAUUGGGUUUAAAGGGAGCGUAGAUGGAUGUUUAAGUCAGUUGUGAAAGUUUGCGGCUCAACCGUAAAAUUGCAGUUGAUACUGGAUAUCUUGAGUGCAGUUGAGGCAGGCGGAAUUCGUGGUGUAGCGGUGAAAUGCUUAGAUAUCACGAAGAACUCCGAUUGCGAAGGCAGCCUGCUAAGCUGCAACUGACAUUGAGGCUCGAAAGUGUGGGUAUCAAACAGGAUUAGAUACCCUGGUAGUCCACACGGUAAACGAUGAAUACUCGCUGUUUGCGAUAUACAGCAAGCGGCCAAGCGAAAGCGUUAAGUAUUCCACCUGGGGAGUACGCCGGCAACGGUGAAACUCAAAGGAAUUGACGGGGGCCCGCACAAGCGGAGGAACAUGUGGUUUAAUUCGAUGAUACGCGAGGAACCUUACCCGGGCUUAAAUUGCAGAUGAAUUACGGUGAAAGCCGUAAGCCGCAAGGCAUCUGUGAAGGUGCUGCAUGGUUGUCGUCAGCUCGUGCCGUGAGGUGUCGGCUUAAGUGCCAUAACGAGCGCAACCCUUGUUGUCAGUUACUAACAGGUUCCGCUGAGGACUCUGACAAGACUGCCAUCGUAAGAUGUGAGGAAGGUGGGGAUGACGUCAAAUCAGCACGGCCCUUACGUCCGGGGCUACACACGUGUUACAAUGGGGGGUACAGAGGGCCGCUACCACGCGAGUGGAUGCCAAUCCCAAAAACCUCUCUCAGUUCGGACUGGAGUCUGCAACCCGACUCCACGAAGCUGGAUUCGCUAGUAAUCGCGCAUCAGCCACGGCGCGGUGAAUACGUUCCCGGGCCU
rnacentral:rRNA from 1 species